UUUUUUUUUUUUUUUUUUGGUCUUCUUAUGUUUUUAGGGCUGCACCUGCAGCAUAUGAAUAUUCCCAGGCUAGGGGUCCAAUCGGAGCUGCAGCUGCUGGCCUGGGUCAGAGCCACAGCAACAUGGGAUCUGAGAUGCAUCUGUGACCUACACCACAGCUCAACAGCAAUGCUGGAUCCUUAACCCACUGAGCGAGGCCAGGGAUCGAACCUACAUCCUCAUGGAUGCUAGUUGGGGUUUUGCUAGCAGGUGAUCCACAACAAGAACUCCCAAAGUUAUCCUUUUUUAAUCCUUUUUUAAUCUUAGUCACCACUGCCCACUUGGAUGUUGGCUACUAAAGUAUUCAGACUGCCUUCUACUUCUAGCAUUGGAACAGAAAGCAUGGGGAAGUGAAUAUCUGAGCAAUGAAUAGCUCCUUCAAUAAUUAGUUAAUUCCUAAAAUACCACAGUUAAAGAUUCAUUCUUUGGGCUUAAAACUUUUGGCCCCUGGUAAACACAUACAAGGUCAGGUACAUUUGAAGUCUUAUCAGUUAUUUGCAUCUAAAUAUGAAUGAAUAAUCUUAUCAGCUCUCUCUCCCCUUUAGGUUUUGAAAAGGUAAAAAGCAUAGUCUCCAAAACCUGGAGGGCUAAGGGGAGGCUGUUUAGUUACUUGAUUUUGAAUACUUUUAACCAUGUCCUAAAGUUCAUUUUUUUAUGCUAGUUAAUCACAUUUUAAAGAUUAAAAUGAAGCCAUGUAAAAUCAAGUGGCAGAGCUUACACAGGCAUACAUUUACAGGUUCUGUUACAAACCAUGGCAAGGAGGUAAGUCACAUGAAUUUAUUGGUUUCCAAGUACACAUAAAAGUUAUGUUUAUACUAUACUGUCAUCUAUUAGGUGUGCAGAGCAUUAUGGCAAAAAAAAAUUUUGUAUACCCUAAUUUUAAAAUCCUUUAUGGCUGAAAAAAAAAAAAAAAAGGUUACAUAUCAUCUGGACCUUCAGUAAGUCAUCAUCUUUUUGCUAAUGGAGAGUAGUGCCUCAAUACUGAUGGCUUCUGGUCAAUCACGGGGGUGGUGGCUAAAGGUUGGGGCAGCUGUGGAAAUUUCUUAAAAUAAGACAACAGUGAAGUUGGCUGCAUAGAUUGAUUCUUCCUUUUAUGAAUGAUUUCUCUGCAGCAUGCAGUGCUGUUUGACAGUGUUUUACCCACAGUAGAACUUAUUUUAAAAUUGGAGUCAAUUGUCACAAACCCUGCUGCUGCUUUAUUAACUAAAUUUAGUCAUCUUCUAAAUCCUUCAUUAUCAUUUAAACAAUCUUCACAGCAAUCUUCACAUGGAGAUUCUGUCUCAGGAAAUUACUUCCUUUGCUCAUCCAUCAGAAGCAACUCCCUAUCCAAUUCAGCCACAUCUUCAGGCUCCAGUUCUAACUCUGGUUCUCUUGCUAUUUCCAUCGCAUCUGUAGUUAACUUCCUCCAGUGAAGUUUUGAACCCCUCAAAUUGUCCAUACGGGUUGGAGUCAGAUUAUUCCAAACUCUUGUUAAUGUUGAUAUUUUUACCUCUUUCUAUGAAUCAUAAAUAUUUUAGUAGUAUAUAAAAUGGAAUGCCUUCCUGAAGGAUUUCCACUUACUUUGCCCUGAUCCAUCAGAAUAAUCAUUUAUGGCAGCUCUAGCCUUACAAAAUGUAUUUCUAAAAUAAUAAGACUUCAAAGUUGAAAUUACACCUUAAUCUAUGGCUGAGAAUGGAUGUUAUGUUAGUAGUUAUGACAAAAAUAUUAAUCUCCUGUACAUCUUCAUUAGAGCUCUUGGGUGACCAACACGAAGUGCUAUUUUGAAAGGAAUCUUUUUGCUGAGUAGUAGGUCUCAACAGUAGGCUUCAAAUAUUCAGGAAACCAUGCUGUCAACACGGUUUACUGAAUGACACAUCUACUAUCAUCCAGUCUUUAUAAUCCCAUUUGUAGAGCAUAGGUGGAGUAAGCUAAUUAGGCUAAUUCUUAAAUGCUCUAGCAUUUUCAGAAUGGUAGAUGAACACUGGCUUCAACUUCAUGUCACCAGGUAUAUUAGGCCAAAGAAACACAGUCUGCUUGUCUGUUGAAGCUUAGAAGUUAGGAAUUGACUUCUCCUCUCUAGUUAUGACAGUCCUAGAUGCCUUCUAAUACAUGGCUAUUUCUUCUACAUCGAAAAAAUCGACUGUUUUGUAUAGCCACCUUCCUUAAUGUUCUUUGCCAGAUCUUCUGGAUAGCUUGCUGCAGCUUUUAUAUAAUCACCUGAUGCUUUAUUCAACUUGUAUGUUUAUGUUAUGAAGACUGUUUGGCUUUUCUUUUUUCUUUAAACGACAUGAAACAACUUCUGCUAGCUCCAAACUUUUCUUCUGAAGCUUCCUUACCUCUUUUGACCUUCACAGAACUGAAAUGAAUUAGGGCCUCUCUCUGGAUUAGUCUUUGGCUUAAGGAGACAUUGUGGCUGGUUUGAUCCUCUGUUUUGACCACUGAAACUUUCUUCAGACAUUGUGGCUGGUUUGAUCUUCUGUUGAGACCAUUGAUACAAUUCCUUAUCAUUUGUGUAUUCACUGGAGUAACACUUUUAAUUUUCUUCAAGAAUGAUUCCUUUUGCCCUUGUCUAACUGGUGCAAGAGGCCCACAUUUCAGCUUGACUCAACUUUCAAUAUGCCUUCCUCACUAAGCUUAAACAUUUCUAAUUUUUUAUUUAGAUCGAGAGACUUGUGACUCUUUCUUUCACUGAACUUGAACUUGAGGUCAUUGUACAGUAUUAACCAGCCUAAUUUCAACAUAGUUUUAUCUCAGAAAUAGGGAAGCCUGAGAAGAUGGAAAGAGGUGGGGGGAUGGCCAGCCCAGGGAAACAGAGCAGUUAGAACGCAGACAACACGCAUAGAUUAAGUUUGCCAUCUUAUGUGGAGAUGGUUCAUAGUGCCCCAAGACAAUUACAGUAGUAACAUUAAAGAUUACUAAUCACAGAUCAUCAUAUCAAAUUUAUCAAUAAUGAAAAAAUUUGAAAAACUGAAAAGUUUUAAAUUAUGAGAAUUACCAAAAUAUGACACAGACACAAAGUGAGUAAAUGCUAUUGGAAAAAUGGUACUAAGGUUGCCACAACCCUUCAAUUUAUUUAAAAAAAAAAAAACAACACAGCAUCUGUGAAGUGUAAUAAAGUAAGGUAUAAUAAAAUGAGAUAUAUCAUAUUUAGGUGAAAUCUGUAUUCCUAAAUUAUGUGUAUUCAUAGUUCAGACUGUGAGACCAAGAGAAGACUGACUUUAUCAAUACCACAGUUUUCUGUUGGAUGCUCUAUUUCACCCUUUUUAUAUUAAUACAAGACUGCCAGGUUACGAAGAGUUAAAGGAAAAGGAAUUCUCUAAAUAAAAAGCCCUUGUUGAAAUGGCAAGUGAAACUUUACAGCUCUUCUUCAUACAUCUAGAUCUUUCUUCCUUGCAUUCCACAUAUGUUAUUAAGUUUAAUUUGAUACAGGUAAGAAAGUUGAACAAUAUGUUUCAAAUUCUAGGCUAUCUUCCUUCAGCUAUGAGGGUUCACAGAAAAUAUAAUUAUAUGAGUUAAUUACUUUAUAAACUUUUCUCCACAAUCAAAAAUUAUUUGUUCUUCAUCUUUUUCUCCACAACUCAAAGCAACUACAACAUGUAAGAGAUGCCAAAAGGGGACCUAAAAUGAUACUAUACUGCUUUCCUUCACAAAAUUGAGUACAGAAAUUGGAACUGAUCUCUGCCAAGAUUUUUGCAGAAGUUUCACCACACAGCUUGACAUAAAUAAUAGCAUUUGGUUAAAGAGAUGGCUUUAUCAUGAAGUUUUUAGCAUUUCUGUCACUACUUUUUUGGGUCAUAAAACACAUUUCUACUAGUAAAAGGAUAGGAAUGAAUCUAUCAAAAUCUUUUGUAAGCAAAUAAUGUUUGUUAGUACAAUGCUAGGCCAGGUCUUAUAUAUCACUUUUAAAAACUAACAAUUUUGUUGAAAUUCAAAAAUGAUACAAGGCCUGCUCAGUAAUUGUGAUCUACGGCACAAUUUUCUUAUUUGUCUACAAAUGUGGUUUUCCAAAUUGCUCUCCUCAGUUGACUAACCAAAGCAAUAUAAAAAACAUUUUUCAAGUAAAGAAUUUAUAUUAUGUGGCUAUAUUUAUUUCAUUUAUAUGUUCAUUUAUUUGUUCAUUGGUGAAUUCAUUCAACAAAUAAUGUUGUAAGCCGACUGUGAACAAGGCCAUAGGAUUUGACAAAUAUGUGUAAGGCAGGGGCCUUGAUCUCAAGAAACUUAUAGGAAAUUUACAUAUGAAAACAACCAUGCAAAGCAGUAUAUAAUAAGCCAGUACCAAAAUAACUUUGCCAUUCUAAAGGUUCCACUAAACUAUGGUAGGAGUUAGGUGUCUAUAGGAGGCAUGAGUGGAUAUAAAUGAAUGAAAUGCUUCAAAAAACACACUUUAAGAGGGCAGAUUCCUUCCAAUCUCAGCUAACUUGCUAUCAUGCAAGCAUGCAAGUGCAAGAUUGUUAGGGCUCAUUAUUUUUCAAAAGAAAGGCCAGAUUUUUACCUAGAAAUAGUGUCAUCUACAGAUUUUUAAAAGUACACUGAAAAUUAAACACACACACACACACGCACACGCACACAGGACAAAAUAAAAAUCAGCUAUAGUUUUCAAAAGAACAAAGAACCACAUCUGACCAGAAGGACCUAGAAAGGCUGUAUGCAAAAGGCAAUGUUUUAGUUCUUUGUUUUUCUUUUUCUUUUUCCUUUUUUUUUUUUUGUUCUUUCUAAGGCCGACCUGCACCAUAUGGAAGUUCACAGACCGGGAGUCAAAUUGGAGCUGCAGCUGCCAGCCUACACCAUAGCCACAGCAACAGAGGAUCUGAGCCACGUCUACAACCUACAACACAGCUCAUGGAUGGCAAUGCCAGAUCCUUAAACCACUGAGCAGGGCCAGGGAUUGAACCAGCAUCCUCAUGGAUAUUUGUC
rnacentral:lncRNA from 1 species